rnacentral:snRNA from 1 species
GCUUCUCCACCUUGUGGCUAAGAUCAAGUGUA